UGUCUCUGAAUAAAUUUGAUAGAAGCCAACGAUUGGAUGAAAUAUGAAAACAAAGCAUAUGAUUGGAUGAAACUGAUUAGAAAUAUCACAGACUGCAUUGCGAGAGUUUACUUGUAUCUGCAAUAGCUGACAGAGAGGAUAAGUUUCGUCCUAUAAAAAAACGUAAAAUAAUGUACAUCGCUACUCUCCAGAUUAUUUUCCUUUUUCUAAUAAAAGUCAUCUACUGCAAUUAUAAUGAUGACAAAAAUGCCAUGUUGAAGUUAAAAGACAAAGCAAAAGAAAGUAUUUUAAGAGACAGAAUGUCAAAGUAGCAAGUUGUCGAGGACUUCCAGGACUUCCAGGCAGAGAUGGGCGUGAUGGCAGAGAUGCUUUAUUGCGUGGUCCUCGUGGUAAGCAGGA